UACGUAGGGUGCGAGCGUUAAUCGGAAUUACUGGGCGUAAAGCGUGCGCAGGCGGUUCGUUGUGUCUGAUGUGAAAGCCCCGGGCUUAACCUGGGAAUGGCAAUGGAAACUGGCGGGCUGGAGUAUGGCAGAGGGGGGUGGAAUUCCGCGUGUAGCAGUGAAAUGCGUAGAGAUGCGGAGGAACACCGAUGGCGAAGGCAGCCCCCUGGGCCAAUACUGACGCUCAGGCACGAAAGCGUGGGGAGCAAACAGG
rnacentral:rRNA from 1 species